rnacentral:tRNA from 1 species
GCUGGUGUGGCAGAGUACGGCAAUUGCAGGAAGCCUAAGCCUUCCCACCCAGGGGUUCAAAUCCUCUCUCUAGCU